rnacentral:tRNA from 2 species
CGCGGAGUAGAGCAGUCAGGUCAGCUCGUCGGGCUCAUAACCCGAAGGUCAUAGGUUCAAAUCCUGUCUCCGCAACCA